AGGAAAGUGAGGUCAAAUGUCCAAUUUGCAUACAAACAUUUCCAGUGUCAGACAUUGAGCUCCAUGCAAGCCUCUGCAGUGAAAGCAUGGAGAAGAACCUUUGCCAGCUUAACACUGCUGAACCAUGCUCCAGCCUGGAUCAAAUAUCAUGUGAAGAGGAUGUUCUUCAGUGGGUAAUGACACAGGUUGACCGCAGCAGGAAUUUUGAAAUCUGUGUGUCCAGAGAAGGUAUGGUUGACAAAGGUCUGAAACUCUGGAAGCACAGAAAGAAUUGGCAGUCCACUGAACCCUUUGAAAGUUUCCUCCCUGGGGGAACCAGGAGUUGACACCGGUGCACUAAGAAAAGAGUUCCUGUCCACAAUGGUUGCUGGAAUCGAGAGACGACUCUUUGAAGGGGAAAGUGAAAAGGGAAAAGUGCCAAAAUACUCUCUCAACG